UGGGGAAUAUUGGACAAUGGGGGGAACCCUGAUCCAGCCAUGCCGCGUGUGUGAAGAAGGCCUUAUGGUUGUAAAGCACUUUAAGCGAGGAGGAGGGUACUGGUAUUAAUACUACCAGCUACUGGACGUUACUCGCAGAAUAAGCACCGGCUAACUCUGUGCCAGCAGCCGCGGUAAUACAGAGGGUGCGAGCGUUAAUCGGAUUUACUGGGCGUAAAGCGUGCGUAGGCGGCUAAUUGAGUCGGAUGUGAAAUCCCCGAGCUUAACUUGGGAAUUGCAUUCGAUACUGGUUUGCUAGAGUGUGGGAGAGGAUGGUAGAAUUCCAGGUGUAGCGGUGAAAUGCGUAGAGAUCUGGAGGAAUACCGAUGGCGAAGGCAGCCAUCUGGCCUAACACUGACGCUGAGGUACGAAAGCAUGGGGAGCAAACAGG
rnacentral:rRNA from 1 species